rnacentral:lncRNA from 1 species
AUGCCUCACGGGAACGGCCCUGGCUGAGAGUUGGGGCUUGUUGGGUUUAGAUUCCAAAGCCAGCUAUCCUUUAUUCCCUGUUCGAGGAGAAAGACUCAUGCCUUCAUUUCUCCACUCAAAAAACAUUUUAAACAAGCACUUUCCUUCUGGGCUCGUUUCUUCCCCGACAUUCCGUGAGUGCCCUUAUCCCAGUCAUGGUCAGCAUGGUGGGUGUGGGCUCUGAGCCGUG